AUGCAUAUAUAUGAUAUAUAUUUAUGUGUUAAAAUCUAAAAAUUAUUUUUAUAUUUUAAAACUUACUUUCAUGCAAAGAAUUUAGAUCUAAAAUAUAAUUUUAAAAUCUAAAAUUUGUAUUUGUGCAUGAGGGUUUUGAUCAUGAAAAAACCAUUAAUUAGGUCAUGUAAUAGGAUUGCAUUUAAAGUUUUUAAUUUAAGUCAUAUGGAUUUAAUUCGAUUAAGUAAUUGAUCAAACUAAGUCAAGUGUUGAUAAGGGUC
rnacentral:lncRNA from 1 species